GUGCUCACUUUAGUAUGACAUAUAUUAAAAUUGAAACGAUACAGAGAUUAGCACGGCCUUUGCACAAGGAUGACAUGAAAAUUCAUGAAUUGUUCCUUCUUAUU
rnacentral:snRNA from 1 species